rnacentral:rRNA from 1 species
AAUUCCAGCUCCAAUAGCGUAUAUUAAAGUUGUUGCGGUUAAAAAGCUCGUAGUCGAAUCUGUGUCCCGCGCCGCCGGUUCAUCGCUCGCGGUGUUUAACUGGCGUGUCCGCGGGACGUCCUGCCGGUGGGCUUAGCUCGCGAGGGCGGCCCAACUUGACAUCCCACCGCGGUGCUCUUCACUGAGUGUCGAGGUGGGCCGGCACGUUUACUUUGAACAAAUUAGAGUGCUUAAAGCAGGCUAAAAUUUUGCCUGAAUACUGUGUGCAUGGAAUAAUGGAAUAGGACCUCGGUUCUAUUUUGUUGGUUUUCGGAACCCCGAGGUAAUGAUUAAUAGGAACGGUCGGGGGCAUUCGUAUUGCGACGUUAGAGGUGAAAUUCUUGGAUCGUCGCAAGACGGACAGAAGCGAAAGCAUUUGCCAAAAACGUUUUCAUUGAUCAAGAACGAAAGUUAGAGGUUCGAAGGCGAUCAGAUACCGCCCUAGUUCUAACCAUAAACGAUGCCAACUAGCGAUCCGCCGAUGUUCCUCCGAUGACUCGGCGGGCAGCUUCCGGGAAACCAAAGUUUUUGGGUUCCGGGGGAAGUAUGGUUGCAAAGCUGAAACUUAAAGGAAUGACGGA